AACGUUGCGUCAGCAACGGCCCGUAGGGCGAGCGAAGCGAGUCAUCCUGCACGACCCACCA
rfam:Mitsuokella multacida DSM 20544 genomic scaffold Scfld8, whole genome shotgun sequence.